AAGAAGCACUAAAAGAAGGCAAGAGCAUGCCUCACUCACUGAGCACAAUGCCCUACCUACCAUCUCGAUUCUCAACGAAUUGGAUGCUCACCACAUAUUUAGUAUAUGGGUGUAUGCUCGCGAAACCUACUUCACUCCCACCCACCUCUGAUUGCAUUAGCCUGCUGAUUGAUCCCGGCAAGGAAUGUGGUUCGGUUCAAUAUUCUUUCUUUGGAUUUACUUUUUAUGAAAGCGAUGCAUGUCCGAUUUCAUCUAAUUUUCAUUCUCCCUUCCUUUUUUGUACUUAUUAUUCCAAGCCAAAAGGCUAUGUUCUGUCCCGCUCGCAAGGCUCAUAACCUAACUGCUCUACUUACUUAAAAAAGAGCACUUCAACAACCCUUGCCCGAAGA
rnacentral:lncRNA from 1 species